AUGUACAUCUCAGUGACAGACUUUGUACAGAACAAUAUAAUGACCUCAUACUGUGCCAGUGUGCAGUAUAACAUCUACUACUAUCUCCGGCAGCCAUCAGAUCUAGUACUAUCUCAACUUAAUAUACUUCUCAACACACCGGAAUUUUUUGCCAGGUUUGUCUGUACUAAUUGUCUACUGCUACCCUACCACGAAGAAGUAGCGAUUUCUCCACCAAUCCAGCUAGCAAUCAGAUCAAACACUAGGCAAAGAAAUUCCUCUCUGCAACUAUAUAUAUCCAUACAAGUACAAUUUACUCCAGGAGCACUAACUGACGGACAGAGAUUGGAUGAAUAA
rnacentral:rRNA from 1 species